GGGGACGCGUGCGGCCCCCUGCUCCCAGGCCACUUCGCGCGCGUGCUCCACAUCCUCCUCGGGACACUUGUCCCCGGAUCCCCUACCCCUGGCCGGCCCGAGGCCGCCUUCUCGGGAAACCCCCCAGUCCCCAAGGGUGUUUUCCCUUGGCUACCUGCGCUGCGAGGGGAGGAGGGAAUUCAGAGAAGGGGCACAAGGGGGGCGUCCCUGGGAGGGGGCGCGACUGGAGGAGACAGAACUGGGAGCGGGUGCCAAAGCGCGGGCCUUUGCUCCGCCUGGGCGCAAUGGGAACACCAACUGGCAGAGUUGGAAACUUUUCCCCCACGUGGCACCACAGUGCGUGGCCGAGUGACCCCGCGCCCGGAUGACCGCUGGGAUCCCCGCCUCGUCUUCCAGCGGGGGACCUUGGGAUGCACGGGCGGCUUCGAAUCCGGGAGCGCGAGGCCUAGCAGCCGGGGGCUGAACUUGAACCUCGAAGGCGGCUGCGGGCGAGGGGCGGGGCUGGAGUGGCCGGACCGCCGCCCCAGCUCAAGGACCCGUUAGACCCGCAAACCGCAGUCCCUGCCCCGCGGGCUUCCUUUACUUUUUGGGAGUGGGGCGGGGUGGGGGGGGCUUCCCUGCUUUUUCCACCACAGCCGCUUCUCCCGCCGCAAUGUGGCUGAUGCUUAUAAAAAGUUGUAUUAAAGAGCUGACUGCAGCCGAGAAUCGAUCAACAAAAACGACCAGCCUCUCUGGGUCUAUCCAUGGCCUUCUCAACAGAUGACUUCAAGUUGAUUUCGUGCUUUAUUUCUUAAGAAUAGUGACUAACCUACGGGAUCUGAUUCAAUUUAUUAGGAACACAGUGCCACCUUCCAAAAUUACUUACCUAAGAGGACUGAGCCUGCUGUCCCUGGAGCAGUUAGCUAAAACAGUGCCUCAGUACGGAGUGUACCUGUGUUAACUUCUAGAGUGCUGUUUCCGGCAGCUGCUGAAAUCCACGCUGAGGUUAUCAAGCUCAUCCUACAAAAUAAAGCAAGUUCUUUGCAAUUUAAA